rnacentral:RNase_P_RNA from 1 species
GUGGCACGCCAGGCGCUUACUCGUUUCUUAAUUAAAACGAGAGGAAAGUCCGGACAUCAUCCCGCCGUAAAAAGUGGGGAACGUAGCGGAUAACAUCCGUCGAGGGCAACCUUAGAGGUGCGAGCAGAGACGUUUUUUGUUGAAAAACAAAAGACGCCCUCCGAAGCUUUAUGCGUAAGGAGGGUGAGUUUGGUUAUAAGGUUUUUAACCGAAGACCAAAAGUGAAACGGCUAAAUCCUUACGGGAUGCAAGACUCGUGUCCGUUUUUUUAAAAAAAGCGGAAGUGGUCGCUUGAGCCAAGGAGUAAUCCUUAGCCUUAGAUAAAUUAGCGCCAUCUGCCCCAAUAAGGCAGAGACAGAAUCCGGCUUACCGGCGUACCAACAAC